GUAUGUGAGGGUGAACUGGCUGUGACAUCUGUCACCCCAUUGAUUUCCAGGAUUGAUUUGGCUGAUUUGGCUGGCUAGGUGGGUUUCCCUUUCUCCCUUACCAUCCAUGUACAUCCCUCCUGAAGCUGUGUGCUCUGUGGAAGGAGACAGCCAUCCCAGAUAGAAGAAGUAUACCAGUAUUUAGUCAAGGGUGUAUGAUAGCUCACAAUGUAUAGAGAUUUCCACUUCAAGUCCAACACCCACAGAUUUUACACUAGAUAGAAAGAGAGUAUUU
rnacentral:snRNA from 1 species